rnacentral:lncRNA from 1 species
GUAAGUGGUGCACUAAGUGCAGCAGGAGAGGUAAUUGUUAUGCUCGCCAAACACAGCCUAAGAGUUAAAGUUUACAGUAAAUGAAACUCAGCUUAAUGUGAUAUACGUGGCUGUUAAAACAGGAAAUAAUCUAUUAGUUUAGCAUGUGCUGGCAACUAUUCAAUAACUUAGCUUAAACAACUCAGCCUGCUUAUAACCUAUUACGUGAUUUGCAUAUCUGCUGUCUUUAUAGAGCAGAGCUUCAACUUUUAAGAUCAGUUUUUCUCUUAAGCAACACACAAAUAGCAGUAUGCAAAUAAUCGAAACUCUGUAAUUUCUACGAGCUGGGUUGCGCAAAUACGAAUUAGAAGCAUACCCAAAUUUGGGGUUAUUAAGGAAGAAGAACUACUGUAGCUAGGAGAUGUGAGUUGAGCGAGAACACAUCAAACAUGAGGUAUGAAUUUAAUAAUUGUAUUUUUAGUUCUUCCUCUUAUUUUUUUAAAAAUUGAAGUUAGUCAAUGGGUUUGCUUAAACCGGAGUGAAAUCUAUGAGAUAUAUAUAGAUAUGUGUUUAUCAAAUGAAUUGUAUGUUAUGAAGAAAAUAAAUUAAUUAGAUUAUCAACUACUUGACAUGCAUGUGAUUGUGUAAUUGAUUGCUGUGAAUAUAAUUUAGGCACAAGUAGAUAAGUGGUUGUGGAGUAACAAGGGAGCUAAACUGGAGAUUUAAUGAAAAUAAAUAGUUAUGACACUUGUGUUGAAAAACAGUGCCUGUAAAGUGUUUGAUAAAAUUCCUCAAUGAACUGUUUUGCUUAACAAUUGCUUAUUCGUUAGAAUUAAAGCUUGGGUUAUAUAUAUAUAUUGAGGGUAAGUAAAGGGUUGUGCCUUGUUAAAUGGAAUGAAAACUAAUUUUUUUUUUAGCUAAAACUAAAUGCUAGAAUUUAGCUUGGCAAGCACCUUUACUCACCGUUUUGGAGCAGCCACCAAGUUGAUUGCAUAUUAUGUGUAGAGAUUAUAGAUUGCAUGUUAUUUUAAGGUGGGGUGUAUUAUGUAAAUAUUUUUGAUAAAAGGUUGUGACUAAUUUACCAAAUGGUUGCCAAAAAUGGCAUUAUAUAAGAGCAGGGCUGCUGCCCACGGUGGCAGCCAUGUCUGUUUAUGGCUUCAGAUGGGGGCUUCCUUGGACUUUCAUUUAGUGUAGAUAAUUUCUAAGACAACCCAGCUGUUAUUGCUCUGUAAUAAGUGUAAAUACCAGUUGUGUAAUGUCCAAAACAUAGUGUAAAAGGAGUCAUUCAUGUAGGGGUGAAAGCUGGGCAAAGCACUUGGGGGGGCUGCUGCCUAACGGCAGCAGUAGGUGGCUGUUUUGGGCAACACAAAAGUGGUCUUUCUUGCUCUUAUGGAUGUUAAUCAGUAGUAACCCGUAUCAGUUGGCUAUUACUCUCUUAAAGGUCCAAUCUGAUAUUCUAAAUGUAGCAACACAUGGACCAAAAAGGGAUGGAAAUUAUGAUCUCUUAAAAUAAGGAAUUUGGGAUGAUGGGACUGCUGCUUAAUGACAGCAGCGAGCAGCUGCUAUUGCUGCACUAGUAAGCCAUUUUUGUUGUGUUGUAAUUCAAGAGUUUACUCAUAACUCUUAACUUCUGGAAAAAAAAAAAUAUAUAUAUAUAUAUAGAAUAUAUAAUAAAACCAUAACUUAAUUAGUUGGGUGAUGAGGAAAAGAAAGGAUUUGUAUAAAAAGGGCCACAUAUAGCUGAUAUCAGUAGCAUUAACAAAUGGAAUGAGCAUUAACAGCUAUUGUUUUGCAGCCAUAUUAAUGACUGUUUCGUAAAAGAAUACAAGCAGUAAAUUAGCAAACUCAAUAAAAAGAAUUAUCAUGAGUACUUGGGCAGUAUUGAAAGUACUAAACUGAGUUCAGUUUUAUUAAACCUCAAAAAGGUUGGAUUAGUAUUUCUAGAUAAAACAAGGUUUUGUAACAAGAUAGCAUAUCAGAAUGAAUCUAUAAAUCAUGAAAAAUACCACGGAAUAACCAUACAAGUGGAAAUUAUCUUUAAUGUAUAAAAUAUACUAUCAAGUUACCUUGUGAAACAUGAAAUACCUUCGGUUUUCACCUUGAAUACCUAAGUUAUAAAGAAGAUUACAAAGUAUACUUAUGGGAAAGGAAAGAAGUAAAAGAAAUAGGAACAGAAGUUAUGUCAGACCCUAUAACAGAAAGAAAAGGCUAUUGUAAGAACAUGAGUGAGAUAUUUGAAAAAUGUAAAUAAAUAUCUCAAGUAUGAGAAUAUCAACUAACAACAUGAUCACUGUGAUUAUGUGAUACGUGAACAUACAAGCUAUAUGACUUAGCUAUUUGGCUAAUAUGCCUGUGUAUACAAAUAAUUGUGUAGGAUCUGUGAGGAUACACAAGUUAAGCUGAAAUUAUACAAAUAGUCUACAAACAAGGCAAGUAUCUAAAUCUUACUCUUUAUUGAGCAAGUAUUUUGAGAUUAUUCAUAUGUUGACAGGUUCUCUAAUUUUUGAACUGUCUUUCAUUAUUUAUGAAUAUUGUAAGAUUGAAUAAUCUUUUUAUUCCAAUCAGCUUCAAAAGAUUGGGUAAGCUAUUAUCUUAUGCAUGAGCAGGUUGCAAAGAAGUCUGAGCCAUUCCUUCUGGCCAGGCACAGCUGUGAAAUAUUUCAAUUUCUUUAUAUUAAGUCUUGAAAUAUUAUUGUGCCAUGAUUUAAGCUGUCCAACUAAAUUGUUGUAGUUGGAAUCUAAAACUGAGGAUGAACAUACCCUUAAAUGGGAUAUUUUUAUUGCACUCUGAGAGUGGUGAUGUAGAACAUGAAAAUUGUUCUUGAAAAGAUAGUAUUGAUCAAUACAGGGCAUAAAGGGCUGAUCACCCUACGUGCUCGUAAGUUAAGACGGUUCAUUUGAUAAUAUUUCUGAUUGAACCUUUUUAAGAAAAGAAAAAUAUGUUCAUGGUCUUAAAACCUCUCAGUUAUUCAAUGAUGUUAUGAUAUUUCAGAAAUAUGAAUGAUUCAAGAUUUAUUGCUUUACAGAUUUGAUUCACUGUCACAGCAUGCUUCAAAGAAAACAUUUAUUUCUUGUUGAGCCUUAAAGAAUGCUAUUACUUGCUGAGCAAUUAAAUGCUCAUACUUGUUUUAUUAUAAAUGUUUUCAGCUCAGCAGACUCGGGCAGAAGGGUCUGGAAAAGACAAGGGAAAAGGAAAAAUAGUAGAAUAGCUGAAGAUUGUUGUAAUAGAUAGUUUUCAUGUUUGUAAAUAUUAAACUAUCAUGUAAUAAACGUGUAAAGGUCUACGUACCUGGGAUUAGAAGAACUUUGAUGUAAUAACUUUACUAAGUUUAUGCUUAUUAUGUUCUGAACAUUUUAUUUCCCGAAUUUGGGGGCGUCACAACUGUAGUUCAAGAGUGCCGUCUACUUCAUUAAGAAAUUCAAUGCAAGAGAUGGCUCCUUUCAAUGGUUAAAUUAUAAGAGGUUGGCAGCCUGUUGAUGUGGUUAGGGUGCUAAUGGCGCAUUGAAGUAUUUAGGAAGGUUAAGAAAAGGAGCAUAUUUUAUAUAUACUCGAUUGAGAAAAACUCCUGACAUCAGGUCAACGCAUUUAUACUCCCCUCCAUCCCAUUCUGGCCUAAUAUCAACAUAUCUUUAAGGACUUUCACAGGUUUAAUAUCGAUGGUGAUAGAAAUUGAUAGAGAUGAAUUGUUCCUGUAGUGAUUGUUCUUUGAAGCAUUUCAAAGGAUAAGAUUUUCUGGACCUUAUGGUUGGUGGUGGAAGUGGUUUAGAUACCAGAUUUCAAGAAAUAGAAC